UCGAGAAUCUUCCGCAAUGGGCGAAAGCCUGACGGAGCGACGCCGCGUGUAGGAUGAAGGCCCUCGGGUUGUAAACUACUGUCACGGGUUAUGAAUGUGCAUAUGUUAACAGCGUGUGUAUUGACGUAAGCCCGAAAGGAAGCACCGGCUAACUCUGUGCCAGCAGCCGCGGUAAUACAGAGGGUGCAAACGUUGUUCGGAAUUACUGGGCAUAAAGCGCGCGUAGGCGGCGACGUAAGUGUAGGGUGAAAUCCCACGGCUCACCCGUGUGAAUUGCCCCGCAUACUGCGUUGCUUGAGUGUGGUAGGGGAGAGCGGAACUCCUGGUGGAGCGGUGAAAUGCGUAGAUAUCAGGAGGAACACCUGAGGCGAAGGCGGGUUGCUAGGCUGACACUGACGCUGAGGCGCGAAAGCUAGGGUAGCAAACGGGAUUAGAUACCCAAGUAGUCCCUGAGCGGGCUGGCAAGGCGCAU
rnacentral:rRNA from 1 species